CACGUAGGGUGCGAGCGUUGUCCGGAAUUAUUGGGCGUAAAGAGCUCGUAGGCGGUGUGUCGCGUCGGCCGUGAAAACCUGCAGCUUAACCGUGGGCUUGCGGUCGAUACGGGCAUCACUGGAGUUCGGCAGGGGAGACUGGAAUUCCUGGUGUAGCGGUGAAAUGCGCAGAUAUCAGGAGGAACACCGGUGGCGAAGGCGGGUCUCUGGGCCGAAAUUGACGCUGAGGAGCGAAAGCGUGGGGAGCAAACAGG
rnacentral:rRNA from 1 species